rnacentral:rRNA from 1 species
AUUGAACGCUGGCGGAGUGCUUUACACAUGCAAGUCGAACGGCAGCACGGACUUCGGUCUGGUGGCGAGUGGCGAACGGGUGAGUAAUGUAUCGGAACGUGCCCAGUCGUGGGGGAUAACGUAGUGAAAAUUACGCUAAUACCGCAUACGAUCUAUGGAUGAAAGCGGGGGAUCGCAAGACCUCGCGCGAUUGGAGCGGCCGAUAUCAGAUUAGGUAUUUGGUGGGGUAAAGGCCCACCAAGCAAAAGAUCUGUCGCUGGUCUGAGAGGACGACCAGCCACACUGGAACUGAGACACGGUCCAUACUCCUACGGCAGGCAGCAGUGGGUAAUUUUGGACAAUGGGCGAAAGCCUGAUCCAGCCAUUCCGCGUGCAGGAUGAAGGCCCUCGGGUUGUAAACUGCUUUUGUACAGAACGAAAAGGUUUCUACUAAUACUAGGAGCUCAUGACGGUACUGUAAGAAUAAGCACCGGCUAACUACGUGCCAGCCGCCGCCGUAA